rnacentral:lncRNA from 1 species
AUGCUGACUGAAUGAAAAAGUUCAGUUUAGGGUUUAAAACUCCUAAUGCUGACUGAAUGGAAAAAGUUUAGUUUAGGGUUUAAAACCCUAAUGCUGACUGAAGGGAAAAAGUUCAGUUUAGGGUUUAAAACCCUAAUGCUGACUGAAGGAAAGAGUUCAGUUUAGGGUUUAAAACCCUAAUGCUGACUGAAGGAAAGAGUUCAGUUUAGGGUUUAAAACCCUAAUGCUGACUGAAGGAAAGAGUUCAGUUUAGGGUUUAAAACCCUAAUGCUUACUGAAGGAAAAGAUCAGUUUAGGGUUUAAAACCCUAAUGCUGACUGGCUGGGGACAAAGUUUGAGAAUACUAACUGACCUCUUUUUUUUGAAUUUUCUUGUUUUAGUAGAAGAUAAAAGGGAGUCUCGUGGAAACUUACCUUUCGAGUGAAUUCCUUAUUGCCAAAAUAUUUCUUGUACCCAUGUACCUUCUUCUUUGGGUGACACCUGCUUCUUGCACGGUUGUCUUGGAUUAUACCUGUUUCAACUUUUCAGACAAAGAACAAUUGUUAGUUCGGAAAUGACGGUUGGUUCGGUGACCUUGAUCGUUCUAG